rnacentral:rRNA from 1 species
UACGGAGGGUGCAAGCGUUGUUCGGAAUUACUGGGCGUAAAGCGCGUGUAGGUUGUGAAAUAAGUCGGGUGUGAAAGCCCACGGCUUAACCGUGGAAGUGCACUCGAAACUAUUUUGCUAGAGUGCGGGAGGGGGAGGUGGAAUUCCCAGUGUAGAGGUGAAAUUCGUAGAUAUUGGGAGGAACACCGGUGGCGAAGGCGGCCUCCUGGCCCGUUACUGACGCUGAUACGCGAAAGCGUGGGGAGCAAAC